GCUGGGCACAGUGAGAUGUGCCUGUAACUCUAGUUACUCCGGAGGCUGAGGCGGGAGGUUCGCAAGUUUGAGGCCAGCCAUCUUCAAUGCCCUCAACAAAUUAGCAAGACCCUGUCUCAA
rnacentral:sRNA from 1 species